rnacentral:lncRNA from 1 species
UUUCGGAAUUCUCAGUUCCUGCUGGCCAACCUUAUUCAUUAGAUCAUGGGCUUGGCUCUUGGAGACAGUCAAUGUUUUCUGUAGAGAAUAUUACCCCGCAGUGGCCAGGAAGCAAAUGCCAAUAGAUCUCCAAAAUAUUUGAUCAUACCAAUGGAUUGCCUAGAAUAUCUUGUGGUCUUUCUGUUGCCUUUGAGAGAAUGUCAUGGAAUACCAGGUGGGGGUGGGGCAGGUGAGCUCAGGGUAGCAAGGAUUCUGACAUAGCAAAGGGAAAUUCUGUAUGGGACAGACUCAAAGGUCCCAGAUGCCCUCUCAAAUGAAGAUGGCAAUAUUCCAAAUAUUCAUUGAUCCAGAAGCAUCUCAUGGCAGGUAUAAGAUCUGGGAGAACUCAUCUUAUUCCAUUCCCAGGAAGCAAACAUCCCUUCUUGGGCAAUGUCUCCAGGCCACGCUUCUCAUCCACAGAGCAGGUGCCUGUUCUCCCCGGGUCAUCUGACAGGGGAGAUAGAAAAGCUGCAAGAGAAAGCUCACAGCACGGGGCUGAGCCCUGGAGGGGAAGUACGGAGGCCUGUAUUCUAAUUCACUGAUGAUCAAUUUGCAAGUUCUUUUUCUCUUAGUUCCCUUAGUUUCCUUCCAGGUAAUGCAGAAUUCCUUGAAGCUUCUCUAGGUUGUUUUACUUUGCAAUCUUUGGUUAGAAGGUCUUUCUCAUGUUAACAGGUGAGUUAAGGUAAGAGCCCCAGACUCCUGGGCUUCCCCCAGCCCACUCCAUGACCCCAAAAGAGAUUCCAUUGGGGGAUACAGUUUGAAUCACCUGAACUAGACAAUUAUUACAGCUUCUCUUCCAGGUUGAAUAUUUCAGGGUCCCUUGCCAAACAGGGGAAGAUCUUGUUAAACCAAAAUCCCAAAUAGAUUUCAAAUAUGCCGGAAGUUUACAUGACCCUAAAGACUGCUCUCCAUGAGAGACUCAGGGGCUGGGGUAGUACCUUCUAAAUUUCCAUGGGAAAAUGAACAUGCUCCAGCAAGAGCUUGGGAAAAGAAGAUAGUCCCUAAGUUUUAUUGUUUGAAAUUUGUCACUCAAGGAUGCGAACGUAUCGCUGACAAUUAUGUAGCAUCUCAGAGCUCAGAAAGCACUUUUGCAUCGAUUAUUUCAUUUCUUGUUCGUGCCAGUUGUGUGAGGUGGACAACAUUAUGUUCAUAUGAGAAAUGCAGCCCAGAGAGGCUCAAACCCAGCACUUUUAACUCCCAAUCUCCCUCUUUUCUCAGUACCAUGUGGUAAGUCUUUAUUAACCAGAGUGUCCAAUUAACCAGAACAUGCCUGUGUCUUAGGGAUCAUCCCAGACUGAUUUUCUUUGCAGAAAACCCCAGGGAGCCACAGCCUUUCCUGCACCUCCUUUUGUUAGCUGUAUGUUUUUUUAGGGGCCCAGUGAGGACUGCAUUUCAGAGCCUGUGUUGCAAAGCUCAUUGCUGUGGAGGAGACGGUUAUGGGCUGGGGCCUGGGUCUUCCGCCCCUUCCUGGCAGACCAGGAGCUUCAGUUGCUCUCUGUGAAGUUCUACUUUGCAGGAGCCUGACACAGACGACAGCCCCAGGUGAUCCCUAUUCUUCAAGACCAAGCCAGGGAAAAUCUUCCAGAUGUUCUUGCUACUCACCCCGACCUUGCGGUCUUACCCUUCUGGCUGAACAAGAGACAAACAGCUCCUCUCCACUUGGCUGUGUGCGGCUUAACGAAUGCGUAUGAAGACCGUAUAAAUAAUUCACAUCACUCAAGAGGUGGCGAGCUGAACAAGUCCCUUCUGGUUACAUUUAUUUCAAGAUAAGGUGAAACUAAGUGAGUGAUGGCCCAGUUACAGAGGCCAGGGUCCAAAGGGGAUUGGGACACUCUAAGUUACACCACCAGAGUGAUUUGUGCAGAACUGUGUCAACUUAGAGAUCCUGGCACCUUGGGGGAAAGGGAAAUGUCUUAUCUCUAAGAAAAGUGAUACAGGAUGAGUAUUUUCCAAGUACAGCCUAUAAGCUAAUUCUGCAGAAUCAAUUUGGCUCUGCCAGGAACCAAGUUUCCGCUUUAAUCUAAGAGGAACUCUGAAUUAGUAACCUUGCAAAUGUUGUCUUCCCUUGGAAAUGUCACUAAGGGACUCUUCGAAGCAUGGGUGUGGGUCCUUGGUGUAGGUCCUCUAGGUGCAUGAGGUGGCACUUUCCAGAAGCAUGGGUGAACCUCCCAAGGGAGUCCAGAGUCUUUUAUUGGAAUCAAUGGAUGAGAAAAAUAUUGUUUUGCAACUUGAGUGAAUGUGGCCUCCAAGAUCAAAACCUGGACUAGAAAAGCCUGUGGAGUGGCGCUAGAACGGGGCAAGUGCCCCCUAAAUAUUUCCACUGAAGACUUUUAGAACUUUGGAAUAAGGAAAGUGUAUCUCCAGCUGACAAUAAAAUUUACGAAGCAAAGAAUGCCUCCGUUAAUACUUUCCAAACGUCUUUGUUUUUGAAUGAGCAAGAUGCUGAGAACCUUCCAAUUCAGUAACCCUGCCUCUGACAGGCAGCAGAACAGUUAGCAAGGUUGACAGAUAGAUGCAGCCACACGAUGCAAUAAUCCUUGCUGCACUGAACUUUGUAUUUAAACACUUAUUUUAUGUUUAAUUAAUUUCUCCAAAGAGGAAAACUUCCAGGCUGCCUUUGAAGCCGGCUUUUUGUUUAAGAUAUUUUGUUUUAAGAAUAAGAGAAAAAAAGGAAGGAAGGAAACGGAGGGAAAAUGUUUAUGUUUUUCCUGUUGUUUUUUCAAAUAUGAUGUGACAUUGUGAAGAGGCCUCCUGAAAGUGCAAUUUUUUGUUUGUGAUGGAAGAGAGAUGCACCUAUGAGUCUUACAUCAUCAAAGAAACAGACGCGUAUCUAUAAUUUAUGCUUUGCUUUAAGCUUCUGCUGAUCUGAUGUGGCUUUUUUAAGACAACACAGGCAGCCCUGGCAUCACUUGUCAAUCAUCGGGGCAUGCUCAAAUCGUAGACCAUUAGCAGGAGAGACGGCAGAGUUUCUUUAAUGACGCUUUUAUAUGGGGCAUCCUGGCAGUGAAACAGAGAGGGUUUGAUUUGAUCAAUGCAUUAGCCUAAUCACAGCGUUCCUGCUCUUAAUUUCUUUUGUCGGCAAUUUCCAUACAUGGGUUGCGUUCAGGGUUCUGGCAAAGACCCGUUCAGAACUCCGUGUGACAUGUGCAGUCACCUUGCCCGGAUUUCUCUCGGUGGGAAGCGACGUCUGCAAGAGAGGGGACGGCGGCUGGGCUGGAUGGCUGCCUUUGAGUCCGUCCUGCGGUGAGGCUGGGGAAGGCCCAUUCCACGCGAGCCUUGGCUUCAGCCCUGAGGUGCCUGCCAGCCCCCGUGGCAGACCCCAGCCCUGCCAAUUUCAGCCCCCUUGGUGAUUCUGUUCCAGCGCUCGCCAAAAGCAGAAUCCGUGUAUAAUGAACAAGUUUCAUGUUCAACAUUUUAAGUGUCUAUUUAUGAGUCCCAGUAAUUAGCCCUUUGUCUGCAAUUCUGGCGAUGAUGAUUAGAAUUCCAUCUCACGUUAUGAAUGCUGCUCCCCAAACUUGUCCUUCUCGCCUGGAGAAUCGCAAGCAGGUGGGCACCUGAAAGGCAAAGAAAGGGGGCGAUUUGGGGAGUGGCCGGUCUCUUCUUUUACCAGCCCUCUAGCAGCCUCCUUCCUUUGAUCCCAUUCUUCCCUGGCCGUAUGUAAUUUCAGACUUCUCAGAAUCCAUUUUCCUGGCUUUUGUUCUGAAACUUGUUUUCUUCUCAUCCUCCACUCUCAUCCCCAAAGGGUGCAUUUUUUUAUAUCAUGCCCUACACAUGAUAUUUGUACCUUUUGCAAAAUCUUAUCAGGAUACUAUGAGGUUUAAGAGUCUUUCCAAACGAAUCAUUCUCAGAAUCAAAAUAUUAUGAAGGAGGCCAAAUUAUCUCUAAUUAUAACCUCCAGAAAAGUGGAGAACUUUUUCAACAAACAGAACAGGGGCAAGCAUCUUACAGAAAUAUUUGCAAGAAAAGUAAUAUUCUUUUUUUUUAAAGCGAUCAAAUCAUGUAAGCAUACAAAUAAAUGUAUUUUAAU